rnacentral:miRNA from 1 species
AGCCUCAUUGACCGGAAGGAAUUCCUUCCGAUCAAUGAGGUGGAACAGCCUCAUCGACCGGAAGGAAUCCCUUCCGGCCAAUGAGGCC